UUUGCUACCUUCCUAUGCCUGUCUAAUCUCUGCUGCUAUCUUAGGUUUGGCUUUCAUUUCCCCUCCUAUCCAUCUCUAUUAACGUCACCAGCAUCCACCUGCAGCUAUGUCAAUGUUAGCUCUAGCAGCAGUGUGCUCAUUAGAGUAAACUACAAACUACCUGCUACACAGCCAAGGCCAGCUCUGCAAAAAAUGUUAAUCAGAAACACUUUAGGAGUCAUGGAUUUUAUCCCCUGGUUCAGGAAAAUGGAUCAGUGGCUGCCUCCUAAGUGACCCAUGACAAGACAGUUUGAUAAGUGUCAUCUCCUCACCUAAAUUUUGACCUUUCAUCUAAAGAUAGAGUUAAUAUGGUUAAGUGAAGUGAGGUCAGUGUGACAGUGCAACAGCAGGGGUUUCCACUUUCUUUUUUAAAUAAAUGCAAGGCUGAAAGUUUCUGCCUUCUUCUCCACAUGUCCUUCAGAACCACCAGUCUUGGAAUUUCCUGCAGGUUUUUUUCUCCCUCCUGUUGCCUUCCUCCCUCUAUACCCUCUGUUGCCUGACAACUCAGAGCUACUAUGUCCUUAUUUUGUCACAGCCCAGUCCUGACCUCUUGAAGAACAGAUCAUGAUAUUUGUGCUCUGUUUUUGAUGUUGGUCACUGAUACAGCCAAAGAGACAUGUUGUGCACAGCUGUGGUUGGUGAAGAACUUGUACACAUGCUGGUGUUUUGCAGUAGCAAACAGGCAAAGGAAUUGCAGCUAGUGCUUUGAUUGACAUGGCUAAACAGUGCUGAGAAGAGUCUGAGAAGAGGUGUGAUCGUCUGUGAAAUGCUACAAAGAUAAAAGAACAUGUCUCUAUUUCUAUGUUAGAGGAAAAGAAUGGUGAAAUGUAUCUCAGAUGAACACAGGUCGUAGAACAGCAAGCUGUAUGAAUAGAAAUGAGUGGAACAAGAAAUACCUGUCCAUGGCAGGAUUCUAAUGUGGGAUGUGAAAACUACUGAGAUGUGAGAACUCAGAAACCAAGAGGUUGGCUACGUGAAUAGACUGAAAGACUAUCCCUUAGGAAGCAGUCUGGAACACAUGGCAGAAAUGCAUGUUAGCUUUUGAUCAAUCUGAUAUAAAUCAAGUUGUGAAUGAACUUGCAUAUUCUUCUGCUAUGAAAAAAAUCCACUAUAUAAACUGAAGAUGGAUGUUUGGAUCCAGCUCCAUGAUCUGACAUGGCAGAGCUGCAGGAUCUCUGACAUGCAGUCUUCAGUUCACUGACUGCUCACAGACCAAGUCACUUUGGCUUGCUGUUUCUAGCUUGCCAAUGAAUUGUUGCACUGCCUCUUGCAUCAAAAACAGCCUGUGAGCAUACUCUAGGAAACCAGAUGCCUUCAGGUUACUUCCUUCCUAUCCUGGGAUGUGUGUCAGCUUCACGUGGUAUACUUUAACAUCUUGAACACCUGGGUGUAUUAAAAUCUGAGAUAAAUUUAAGAUUAAACUAGCAUCAACACUAUUCAUAUAUAUGUAUAUGUAUAUGUAUGUCUGAGUAUUUGUAAAUAUAUACAUACAUGUUG